rnacentral:rRNA from 1 species
GAGUUUGAUCAUGGCUCAGGAUGAACGCUAGCGACAGGCCUAACACACGCAAGUCGAGGGGCAGCAUUAUCAGCUUGCUGAUAGAUGGCGACCGGCGCACGGGUGCGUAACGCGUAUGCAACCUACCUUCUACAUUGGGAUAGCCCUAAGAAAUUGGGAUUAACACCAAAUAAUACUAAGAUACCUCAUGGUAUUUUACUUAAAACUCCGGUGGUAGAAGAUGGGCAUGCGUGACAUUAGAUAGUUGGUGAGGUAACGGCUCACCAAGUCGACGAUGUCUAGGGGUUCUGAGAGGAAGGUCCCCCACACUGGUACUGAGGCACGGACCAGACUCCUACGGGAGGCAGCAGUGAGGAAUAUUGGGCAAUGGAGGCAACUCUGACCCAGCCAUGUCGCGUGCAGGAAGACAGUUCUAUGAAUUGUAAACUGCUUUUAUACGGGAAGAAACCGGGGGACGUGUCCCCCUUUGCCUGUACCGUACGAAUAAGCAUCGGCUAACUCCGUGCCAGCAGCCGCGGUAAUACGGAGGAUGCGAGCGUUAUCCGGAUUCAUUGGGUUUAAAGGGUGCGUAGGCGGAAUAAUAAGUCAGGGGUGAAAGUUUGCGGCUCAACCGUAAAAUUGCCUUUGAUACUGUUAUUCUUGAGUACACGCGAGGUAUGCGGAAUGUGAUGUGUAGCGGUGAAAUGCUUAGAUAUAUCACAGAACACCGAUUGCGAAGGCAGCAUACUAGAGUGUCACUGACGCUGAUGCACGAAAGCGUGGGUAUCGAACAGGAUUAGAUACCCUGGUAGUCCACGCCGUAAACGAUGAUUACUAGCUGUUUGCGAUACAUAGCAAGUGGCAAAGCGAAAGCAUUAAGUAAUCCACCUGGGGAGUACGUUGGCAACGAUGAAACUCAAGGAAUUGACGGGGG